CGAAAGCCUGACGGAGCAACGCCGCGUGUGGGAAGAAGGCCUUUGGGCUGUCAACCACUUUUCUCAGGGAAGAAGUUCUGACGGUACCUGAGGAAUCAGCCUCGGCUAACUCCGUGCCAGCAGCCGCGGUAAUACGGAGGAGGCAAGCGUUAUUCGGAAUUAUUGGGCGUAAAGCGUCCGCAGGGGGCGCAUCAAGUCUGCUGUCAAAGCUCGGAGCUCAACUCCGACCCGGCAGUGGAAACUGGGGAGCUAGAGGGCGGCAGGGGCAGAAGGAAUUCCCGGUGUAGCGGUGAAAUGCGUAGAUAUUGGGAAGAACACCGGUGGCGAAAGCGCUUUGCUGGACCGAACCUGACGCUGAGGGACGAAAGCUAGGGGAGCG
rnacentral:rRNA from 1 species